UACGGAGGGUGCAAGCGUUAUCCGGAUUCACUGGGUUUAAAGGGUGCGUAGGUGGGUCUGUAAGUCAGUGGUGAAAUCUCCAAGCUUAACUUGGAACUGCCGUUGAUACUAUAGACCUUGAAUGCCUGUGGAGGUGAGCGGAAUAUGUCAUGUAGCGGUGAAAUGACUUAGUAUAUGACAUAGAACACCAAUUGCGAAGGCAGCUCACU
rnacentral:rRNA from 1 species